UACGUAGGGUGCGAGCGUUAAUCGGAAUUACUGGGCGUAAAGCGUGCGCAGGCGGUUUUGUGAGCCAGAUGUGAAAGCCCCGGGCUCAACCUGGGAAUGGCAUUUGGGACUGCAAGGCUGGAGUUUGGCAGAGGAGACUGGAAUUCCUGGUGUAGCAGUGAAAUGCGUAGAUAUCAGGAGGAAUACCGAUGGCGAAGGCAGGUCUCUGGGCUAUAACUGACGCUCAUGCACGAAAGCGUGGGGAGCAAACAGG
rnacentral:rRNA from 1 species